rnacentral:tRNA from 1 species
UCUUGUAGCUCAGUGGUAAAGAAUCUGCCUGCAAUGCAGGAGAUGCAGGUUCAAUUCCUGGGUCAGGA